AUCUGAGGCUAAUGUGAUCACGAGACCGAUAGCAAACAAGUACCGUGAGGGAAAGUUGAAAAGGACUUUGAAAAGAAAGUUCAAGAGCACGUGAAACCGUUCAGGGGUAAACCUGAGAAACCCAAAACAUCGAACAGGAAGAUUCAUCAGGGGUUUCGUCAGCGGGGCAGACUUCACGGGGGCUCGUGAUGUCGCGACGGCUUCGGCCCCGCGGCAUGCGUCUCUCGCGCAUGUCCGGCAAUGUCGGCGUGCACUUCUCCCCUAGUAAGACGUCAUGGUUGUUGGUCCACGGCCCGGGUAGGUGCCUGUCGCGUCGCUUCGGUGCACGCAGCAAACCCCCGGUCGCCCAGCCGGCUGUUCGAUGGUACUCGCGCAGUACCGGGCCGCCCGCUUUCGAACGGCGUCGGGCUCAUCGCAAGCGCGGUCAGCGUUUCCCGGCAGUAACGGACCCAGUGACGUCCCCGUGCCUGGCUCGUUGUCGACCAGUGGUGACCUCCGACAGGCCAAAAAAACGAUACCGGUCGGCGACGCUACCGCUUUAGGUACUCUCAGGACCCGUCUUCACACACGGACCAAGGAAUCUAACACGUGCGCGAGUCAUUGGGAUGGUAAACCUAAAGGCGCAAUGAAAGUGAAGGUCGGCCUCACGUCGCGAUGCGGCUCCGCACUCCCGUACAUGUAUACGUUGAAUCCCAAAAAAUGGUGAACUAUACCUGAUCAGAACGAAGUCAGGGGAAACCCUGAUGGAGGUCCGUAGCGAUUCUGACGUGCAAAUCGAUCGUUGAAACUGGGUAUAGGGGCGAAAGACUAAUCGAAUCAUCAGUAGCUCAAUCAUCAGUAGAAUCAAUCAGUAGCUGGUUCCCUUCGAAGUUUCCCUCAGUAUAGCUAGCACUCGUCCGUUCGAACGAACGCGUACGAGUCUCAUCUAGUAAAGCGUAUGAGUAGAGGCUUUGAGGCCGAAACAACCUCAACCUAUACUCAAACUUUAAAUGGGUGAGAUUUCUGGCUUGCUUGAACUAUGAAGCUACAAGAUAUUUCG
rnacentral:rRNA from 1 species